ACCACUGGGCACCGAAACCCAAGUGGCCAAAUUAACUUCAUCUGAGUGACAGCAGCCCUGGCAACCGGAAAACAGUUAGAGCAAGAAACGUCAAAGUAAGCCAUUCAUUUCCGAACAUUCGAGAACCAAGAAAAAUCAAGACUGGUUGUGAAUUUUUAAAAGAGUCUAGUUAUUGAUUUUGUGACUAUUAUUUGAACUGAAACUUAAUAAGUAGAACACGAUUUUAGUUAGCGCGUGAUUUCUAAAACCGUAGCGAAAAACUUAUGCAGAGGCAACUUAGAAUCCAGGCACGUUUCUCGUAGUAGGAGUAAAAAACUAAAUCUUUUGAGCAGAUUCAAACCGAACUGCUACAGAAGGAGUUUUAAUUCUCAACAUUUCUCAAAAGAUUUACAUAACCUCACUUUGAGAUGGGAAGCUGCCGCUUAUGUAAUGGCCCGGAUAACGAACAGAUGGUUGCCUGCGACGACUGCGAGACAUGGUUCCAUUUCGCUUGCGUGAAUGAAUCACCCGGUGUGGAACAUCGUGAUUUCCGAUGCUCGGAAUGUGCCGCGAAGAGGGAGAAAAAGGGGAAAAAGUCCGGUAGCAAAUCCGCGACCGGAACUG